rnacentral:tRNA from 1 species
UGCCUCAUAGUGUAAUGGUUAGCACAACAGAUUUUGGUUCUGUUAGUAAAAGUUCGAGUCUUUUUGAGGUAA